rnacentral:rRNA from 1 species
GAGAGUGGCGAUAGCGAAGAGGUCACACCCGUUCCCAUACCGAACACGGAAGUUAAGCUCUUCAGCGCCGAUGGUAGUCGGGGGUUUCCCCCUGUGAGAGUAGGACGCCGCCAAGC